GGUUCUAUCACGUAGAAGAUGUUUG
rnacentral:sRNA from 1 species